AUUUUUGUGUUGAAUCUUUAAAUACAGAAUCAGGUUAGUCUCUGCAUCGAGGGUCUAUCGAAACCAACCUCUGAAAUAGAGGUAAGCUUACCGUACAUUAUACCAUCCGUUAAAAUCACUUUGUGGGAUUAUAUGAGGUAUGUUGUUAUAUACAGAAGUCAAAAAUUAGUAUUCAUUUGUUAAACUAUUACAUAACAUUGUUGUGUUGUCUCCAGGUGCCAUCCAAUAGAGUGAAAUAAGGACUAGAAAGUUAGAAGGCUUCUUAAUGAAAGCAUGAAUGCAAAUGUGAUGACGGGUGGCCCUAAAUCACUUGGUAUGACCUCACUACAUCUUUCUGCUAAGGGAGGCCAUGUGUGAGUUAUGGAUGAGUUUCUUGAGAGAGGUGUUGAUUCUCUCACUUCGUACUGAAACAGUUUUGUCGGUUGCCAACUGUUGUUCCUUAUCAGUUUUGCCUACACAAAUCCAUCUUAUGCUUUGCUUUACAACCUACAAUACCAAUUUUUACGUUUAUACAUACUGUAUUAAUGGGGUCAGUAAACAUUCAAUCCCUUCAUCUCUCGAUUUGCAUCUGUCACCAUCACAAAUACUUCAUUUUUUAGAGCUAUUGCAAAUAAUUUGAGAAUAUAUAUCCUCCAAAUUGGACCUUCCAAGGGAAUAAAUUGUAACAAAACUAUUAGUUUGUCGUAGAAACAAUUGUGGAAGUUUUGUAGUUUUAUCUAGCUCGUUGUUCAUGAA